rnacentral:rRNA from 1 species
UACGUAGGGUGCGAGCGUUGUCCGGAUUUAUUGGGCGUAAAGAGCUCGUAGGUGGUUUGGUAAGUCGGAUGUGAAAUCUCCAGGCUCAACCUGGAGGGGUCAUUCGAUACUGCCAUGACUAGAGGUCGGUAGGGGAGUGUGGAAUUCCUGGUGGAGCGGUGAAAUGCGCAGAUAUCAGGAGGAACACCAGUGGCGAAGGCGACUCUUUGGCCUGUAACUGACGCUGAGGCGCGAAAGCGUGGGGAGCAAACAGG